UACGAAGGGGGCUAGCGUUGCUCGGAAUCACUGGGCGUAAAGCGCACGUAGGCGGAUCCUUAAGUCGGGGGUGAAAUCCUGGAGCUCAACUCCAGAACUGCCUUCGAUACUGAGGAUCUCGAGUCCGGGAGAGGUGGAGUGGAACUGCGAGUGUAGAGGUGAAAUUCGUAGAUAUUCGCAAGAACACCAGUGGCGAAGGCGGCUCACUGGCCCGGUACUGACGCUGAGGUGCGGAAAGCGUGGGGAGCAAACAGGG
rnacentral:rRNA from 1 species